GGCCAGCAGCCGCGGUAAUUCCAGCUCCAAUAGCGUAUACUAAAAUUGUUGCGGUUAAAAAGCUCGUAGUUGCAUUUGUGCGCCGCGCUGUCGGUGCACCGCAUCCGCGGUGAUACUGACACGUCUGCGGAGCAUAUCGUCGGUGAGCCGGCGGUAAUACGCCGGUUCAAUAUCAAAAUCCUAUCGCGGUGCUCUUCGGUGAGUGUCGAGGUGGGCCGACAAUUUUACUUUGAACAAAUUAGAGUGCUCAAAGCGGGCUCAAAAUGCUGCUUGAAUAUUUCGUGCAUGGAAUAAUAGAAUAUGAUCUCGGUUCUAUUUUGUUGGUUUUCAGAACUCCGAGGUAAUGAUUAAUAGGGAUAACUGGGGGCAUUCGUAUUGCGACGUUAGAGGUGAAAUUCUUGGAUCGUCGCAAGACGAACAUCAGCGAAAGCAUUUGCCAAAGGUGUUUUCAUCAAUCAAGAACGAAAGUUAGAGGUUCGAAGGCGAUUAGAUACCGCCCUAGUUCUAACCGUAAAUAUGUCAUCUAGCGAUCCGCCGACGUUACUACAAUGGCUCGGCGGGCAGCUUCCGGGAAACCAAAGAUUUUGGACUCCGGGGGGAGUAUGGUUGCAAAGCUGAAACUUAAAGGAUNGAACGGAAGA
rnacentral:rRNA from 1 species